AUUAAAGUAUUUAUAUGUUUAUAAUAUUUAAAUAAAGUAUUAUUUUUUUUUAUUAAUUAUAUAGAAAAAAUUAAUUUAAUUAUAGUUAAUAGUAUAGUGAUAGAAAAUUGAAAUAUUUUGAAAAUUAAAAUUUUUAAAAGAAUAAUUAAAUUUUAGUACCUUGUGUAUCAGGGUUUAUUAAUAAAAAUUUAUUUUUUUUAAAUUUCUCGAUUUUAAAAGAGUUAAAUAUAUAUAUAUAUAUUAAUGUAAAAUAAUUAUAUUAAAUAUAUAUUUAGUAAUGAAACGUUAUUCGUUUUUAAAUAUAUCUAGUUUUUUAAGAAAUAAAUUUAAUUUAUUUAUCAAUAAAAAUUAAUUUAAUUAAUAAUUUUACUUUUAUUUGAUAAAAAAUAUUAUAAGGGAUAAGCUUUAUAAUAAAUUAAUAUAAAUUAUUUAAUAUUAAAAAUAAAUUUAGGAUUAAAAAUUUCUUUUAUUAAUAUUUUGUUAUAAUUAAUUUUUUAGUUUAAUUAUUUAUUAAUAUAAUUUUAUAUUUUUUAUUAAAAUUAUUUAUUUAAUAAUAAAAUAAAUGUAAUAAUGAUAAAAUUAGUAUAAUUUAUUGUAUAAAUAUUUUAUUUAUAUAAGGUUAAUUUAAGGAAUUCGGCAAAAUAAUUUUUCGCCUGUUUAAUAAAAACAUGUCUUUUUGAUAAUAAUUUAAAGUCUAACCUGCCCACUGAAUAAUUAAAUGGCCGCAGUAUUUUGACUGUGCAAAGGUAGCAUAAUCAUUAGUUUUUUAAUUGAAAGCUGGAAUGAAUGGUUGAACGAGAAAAUUACUGUCUCAAAUUAAUUUAAUUAAAAUUUUAUUUUUAAGUUAAAAAGCUUAAAUAUUUUUAAAAGACGAGAAGACCCUAUAGAGUUUAAUAUUUAAUUAUUUAGUUUUUUUAUAAUUUAUUAAAAAAUUAAUUAAAUAUUUUAUUGGGGUGAUAAAUAAAUUUAAUUAACUUUAUUUAAUUUUUAACAUAAAUUUAUGAUUUAUUGAUCCAUUAAUAAUGAUUAAAAGAUAAAAUUACCUUAGGGAUAACAGCGUUAUCUUUUUAGAGAGUUCAAAUCGAAAAAAAGGAUUGCGACCUCGAUGUUGGAUUAAAGUUAAUUUAUGGUGUAGAAGCUAUAAUAUUAAGUCUGUUCGACUUUUAAAACUUUACAUGAUCUGAGUUUAAACCGGCGUGAGCCAGGUUGGUUUCUAUCUUUAAAUAUUUAAAAUAUUUUAGUACGAAAGGACCAAAUAUUUAUAAAAUUUAUUUAAAAUUGAAUCUUAUU
rnacentral:rRNA from 1 species